rnacentral:rRNA from 1 species
AGUGAACGCUGGCGGUAGGCCUAACACAUGCAAGUCGAACGGCAGCACAGCAAGAGCCUGCUCUUACGGGUGGCGAGUGGCGGACGGGUGAGGAAUACAUCGGAAUCUACUUUUUCGUGGGGGAUAACGUAGGGAAACUUACGCUAAUACCGCAUACGACCUACGGGUGAAAGCAGGGGAUCUUCGGACCUUGCGCGAUUGAAUGAGCCGAUGUCGGAUUAGCUAGUUGGCGGGGUAAAGGCCCACCAAGGCGACGAUCCGUAGCUGGUCUGAGAGGAUGAUCAGCCACACUGGAACUGAGACACGGUCCAGACUCCUACGGGAGGCAGCAGUGGGGAAUAUUGGACAAUGGGCGCAAGCCUGAUCCAGCCAUACCGCGUGGGUGAAGAAGGCCUUCGGGUUGUAAAGCCCUUUUGUUGGGAAAGAAAAGCAGCAGGUUAAUACCCCGCUGUUCUGACGGUACCCAAAGAAUAAGCACCGGCUAACUUCGUG